rnacentral:rRNA from 1 species
GAUUAAGCCAUGCAUGUGUAAGUAUAAAUAAUUUUACUUUGAAACUGCGAAUGGCUCAUUAUAUCAGUUAUAGUUUAUUUGAUGAAGAAUACUAAUUGGAUAACCGUAGUAAUUCUAGAGCUAAUACAUGUAUAAAGUCUUGUAGACUGCAUUUAUUAGAAUGAAAACCAUAGGUUUCGGCCUAUUCGUGAGUAAUAAUAACUAAUCAUAUCGUAUGCUUAUGUAACGAUGUGUCUUUCAAGUUUCUGCCCUAUCAGCUUUCGAUGGUAGUGUAUUGGACUACCAUG